rnacentral:rRNA from 1 species
UACGUAGGGUGCGAGCGUUAAUCGGAAUUACUGGGCGCAAAGCGUGCGCAGGCGGUUCGUUGUGUCGGCGGUGAAAGCCCCGGGCUUAACCUGGGAAUGGCCGUCGAAACUGGCGAACUGGAGUGUGGCAGAGGGGGGUGGAAUUCCGCGUGUAGCAGUGAAAUGCGUAGAGAUGCGGAGGAACACCGAUGGCGAAGGCAGCCCCCUGGGCUGACACUGACGCUCAGGCACGAAAGCGUGGGGAGCAAACAGG